rnacentral:rRNA from 1 species
GACGAACGCUGGCGGCGUGCCUAAUACAUGCAAGUAGAACGCACAGUUUAUACCGUAGCUUGCUACACCAUAGACUGUGAGUUGCGAACGGGUGAGUAACGCGUAGGUAACCUGCCUGGUAGCGGGGGAUAACUAUUGGAAACGAUAGCUAAUACCGCAUAAUAUUGAUUAUUGCAUGAUAAUUGAUUGAAAGAUGCUAUUGCAUCACUACCAGAUGGACUUGCGUUGUAUUAGCUAGUAGGUGAGGUAACGGCUCACCUAGGCGACGAUACAUAGCCGACCUGAGAGGGUGAUCGGCCACACUGGGACUGAGACACGGCCCAGACUCCUACGGGAGGCAGCAGUAGGGAAUCUUCGGCAAUGGACGAAAGUCUGACCGAGCAACGCCGCGUGAGUGAAGAAGGUUUUCGGAUCGUAAAGCUCUGUUGUAAGAGAAGAACGGGUGUGAGAGUGGAAAGUUCACACUGUGACGGUAUCUUACCAGAAAGGGACGGCUAACUACGUG